CGGCUGCUCUCUUACGAGUCGGCUGCUGCUGCAUCCCUUUCUCUCUCUACUCUGUUCUUAAUUCGCGCAACGGCAAGUCGUGCAUCGCUAUGCCCAAAGGCCCUCGCACGGCCGAGGUGUCGCGGCGCCUCGUCGAUGCCUACGUGACAACAUUGCGGCAACAUCUCCCAACGUACUGUAUUCGGCAGCUCGACAAACUGCCAAGGGCUGAGGAGCACCAGCUCACUCGUCUACGCCAGUCCUACCCCGGCACUCCGGCGGAGCUGCUGUACCUUCUCCAGCGUGUGAACGGCACGUGCUGGGAGACGCUGCAAGCCCCACCGGGCUCCGUGCAACCGUCGGCUGCCGCGGCGCAGCCGCACGCACCAUCGGCGAGUGCGAUGGUGACAGUGACCGCAGGGAAAAGCGGUAGUGCGACGUCCACCACGUCUACCACCACCACCACCACGACGGCACGCUCGGCUGAAGCCGGCGCGUCGCCUACGGCGCCGACCUACAAGACGGCCGCGAAGAGCGCUGCCAAGGCGACGGCUGCUGCUGCGAUGGCUUCUGAGGCGGCCGCCUUUAUAAAGUCGCAGAUUGCCAAGAAGGUGAACACAAUGGCCGGGCCGCGGCAGCGUCGCCCGCUCCCGCAUUUUGUGGCGCUGCCCAUCCUCGGCUCCACAUACACGAGCUGCCCAUACUACCUCAAGUCGGUGGAGCAGAUGCUGGUGGCAGAGCAGCAGUUCCCGCCACCUCCUGCUACGCUGCCCGAUGAAAGUGAGGGGUGGGCCCCCCCAACGGUAGCCGCCGCAACACAAUCGUCGUCGCCACCGCCUCCUUCCACACCAAAGCCGUCUUCGCCGGCGUCCACCGCCACCGCAGGCGGAGGGCUGCACGACGCUGUGUGUGUGACGGCGCAGUGCAGUGGCGAGGGCGGCGCAGCGGGCGACUCGCCACCGUCUGCCGCCAGCGGUGCUACGCCCAACGCGCACUCCAUCGCUUCCGUGUACUCGGGGUAUAAGAUUGUUUACGGCUCUCCUCCAACACUGCCGCCGCCAUCGUCGCUCAGCGCCGGCAGCGCGCUGAAUGCAGUAGCUUCGUAUGGCGCCCCUGCUGGUGAUGCGAAGACAUCCUUUGCGACGAUGCCAGCGCCGACGCCGUUCAGUGGGGAGCCGCGUGUCGUCUACGUUGACCCCCGCAUCGACAUCCACGCCAGCUUUCACCAGUGGCUCGUGUUUGCCGACAGCGUGCAACCACACGUGCGGGGCUCAACACCGAUAAUCCCGGAUGCUGAUCCUGCCAAGAUGACAGCGGCUGCUGCGACGAGGAAUGCGGCGAACAGCUCAAGGUUCUCUCCUGCGCGGGCCCCGCCCCGUGCGCACACGCCGUCGUCACCGCCGAAGCACUUUGCUGCCUCGCGACUCUACAUCGACUUCAAGCCUGUCGAGCUUCACGGCGGCAUGUAUGGGCAGGUGAUACAGUUUGUGCACGGGAAUCCGGACAGCUUCUCUGUCGUGGCAAGCGACUUCGGUGAGUACUUAAAGUACAUUAUGACAGAGGAGUACGGCUUCACAGAGGAGCUCGAGGACGACUACGAUGACGAGGGUGCUCGUGUGCCGGAGGAAAACCAGGACACGUCGCCUCUGACGGGGACGCCGCUGCCGCCCAUCAUCACAUCCGCCGACGGCCGCCCACUAACGUCACCGACUUCAUCGUUGGCCGACGUGCAGAAGAAACGGUAGCAAGAAGAAGAGGGAACGGCGCUUCGCGGAGGAAGGCGGCCGACGCGUAGGGCCGCUGCCGCCUCAAAGUGAUGUGCCUGUGCUUGCUUGUGUAGGAGUGCCGGAUGCUUUGGACGCUGUUCGCUCGUGCGUGACGUGGCUGAUACGGAGGAGGACACACACACACACACACACACACACACACACAAACGAGCCUCUCUCCUUUCGUGGUUGAGUGGGGAGGGGUGUAUGGCUGCAUGUGCGGCUCCGUUCUUUGCUCAUACGUCGCUUUCCUCUCUUGCCCCCCCCCCCUCCCUUCCCCCCUCCCAACCCUUGUGGAUAAGCGUAUGCAUGUGCGUGUGCAUGUGUAUGUAUAGUGUCUGCGCACGUGCUGCAUCUUUGGCUCGACAGCCGUGUGCUGUGUCGGCUUUUGUGCGCUCGAUGCUGGCUAGGUGCUUCUCCUUAUCUGCAGGUGUGUGUUUCCCUGUGUUGGGGUCGCACGUGAAAAGAGAACACGCACACGCAUCGGUAGAAGCUGUAUCUGCAGCGUCGUCCCUCUCUCUUCUACCAUCGACUCAUUCCCCCCCCCUCCCCCCCACCUCUGCCUCCUCGCUCCGCGCCGCUUGAUGCGAAGAGCGACACUGCUAGAGUCGAGCAUGGCGGCAACGUACGUCAUGUUGCACCACCUUCACAGGGGCCUGAGUGCAUGGGCGCAUGCGCGUUCGAGAGCGGGAGGGUUGAUCAGUGAGGAGGAGGAUGCGGGAGAAGGCAAAGGGCCAAGUGGCGGGCCAUCGGGCGAAGUGUGCAUAUGCUUGGUGUUUGGUGAGGCGUGUGCACACCUCGCCGACCCCCUAUACUUUUCACUAUCUACCGCCGCGAUGCGGGAGUCACUCUUCUCUCGCAGCUCUAUGUGUGCAGAAAGGACGUUAGUGGCCCGCGCUCGGAGAGAAGAUGCGACAGGUGCGCGAUUUCUUCGCCAAGGGGGAGUAGACACACGCGACCCUCCCCCUCCUCUCUCCUUCUCUUCCUUCCUGCGGUAUGCUUUCUUGUGGGUCAUGUCCAUGGCGCUGCUGAGUUUACAUGUGUAUCGGGAAGUUGCAUGUGUGCUUGUUGCUUCAGGACUCUCCUCCACUUCUUCUCCGCUACAUUCUCUCCAUUUUGUUGUUACAUCGCCUCCGCAUGUGCACGGAUCUUGUUGCGCGUGCGCGUCGCGUUUUCUGUUGGGCGACUGCGAGCUCCUGUGGCGUUAUCCCUCUUCUCGAUUUCUGUUGGGGCGACACUGCCUCGCGUGCCCUCCUCGUCGUAAG
rnacentral:misc_RNA from 1 species